rnacentral:lncRNA from 13 species
AUGGAAAAACUGAACUUACCUAAUUUGAAGGCUGUUGGUGAUCUCUGCACACACUGGCUCCCCUUCACCUUUCAUCACGAGUGGAAGCAGCCUAAGGCCUUCACCGCAUUUCCUAUCUUGGACCUUCCAGCAAGAAUAAUCAUGAACCAAAUAAACUGCUUUUCUUUAUAAACUAUUCAGCUUCAUGUAUUCCUUUACAGCAACGCUAAAUGGACUAAGACAAAUUGUGGGUCCGGGUGCAGUGGCUCAAGCCUGUAAUCCCAGCAUUUUGAGAGGCCAAGGCAGGGGGAUCACCUGAGGUCAAGAGUUCAAGACCAUCCUGGUCAACAUGGUGAAACCAUGUCUCUUCUAAAUAUACAAAAAUUAGCCAGGCAUGGUGGUGGGUGCCUGUAAUCUCAGCUACUCCAGAGGCUGAGGCAGGAGAAUCACUUGAACCCGGGAGGUGGAGAUUGCAAUGAGCCGAGAUCACACAGUUGCAAUCUAGCUUGGGCAACAAGAGCGAAACUUCAUCUUGGAAAAAAAAAAAGAAAGAAAAUGUGAUAUAUAUAUAGCUCUCUAUCUAUAAAGAUAAGAUAGAUACGAUACCAAUUACAAUGGAAUAUUGUUCAGCCAUAAAAAGAAGAAAAUUCUAGAAUUUCAGAUGUCAUAGAUGAAUCUGGAGGAAAUUAUGCAAAGAGAAAUAAGCUAGACAUAGAAAGACAAAUACUACAUAAUCGCACUUACAUGUAGAAUCUGAAAAAGUUGAACUCAGAGGCAGAGAUUGAAUGGUAGUUCCCAGGGGAUAGAAACAGGGAGAAGAGAAUUGAAGGGAGGAAAAAGGAGAUGUUGGUCACAGAGACAAACAUUCAGUUAUAAGAUUAAUAAGUUCUGGAGAUCUAAUAUAUAGCAUGGUAACUAUUGUCAAUGAUACCAGAUAGUAUACUUGAAAUUUGCUGAAAGUAGAUCUUAAGUGUUCUCAACACAUACAUACCCAGAAAAUGAUCACCUUAUAUAUUACUCUGUAAGAUGAUGGAUGUGUUAUCUAGCUGGAUUUUAAUAAUCAUUUCACAAUGCAUAUCAAGUCAUCUUAUACACCUUAAAUAUAUACCAUUUUGUAUAUUCAUUACCUCAGUAAAGCUGGGGGGUGGAGAAAAACAUGAAAAAAUGUAAUAUUACAAGCCCUAAAGGUUUC